rnacentral:rRNA from 1 species
UACAGAGGGGGCGAGCGUUGUUCGGAAUUACUGGGCGUAAAGGGCGCGUAGGCGGCCCGCUAAGUCGAACGUGAAAUCCCAAGGCUUAACCUUGGAACUGCGUCGGAUACUGGUUGGCUUGAAUUCGGGAGAGGGAUGCAGAAUUCCAGGUGUAGCGGUGAAAUGCGUAGAUAUCUGGAGGAAUACCGGUGGCGAAGGCGGCAUCCUGGACCGACAUUGACGCUGAUGAGCGAAAGCUAGGGGAGCAAACGGG